rnacentral:rRNA from 1 species
AACGAACGCUGGCGGCAUGCCUAACACAUGCAAGUCGAACGAGACCUUCGGGUCUAGUGGCGCACGGGUGCGUAACGCGUGGGAACCUGCCUUUAGGUUCGGAAUAACUCAGAGAAAUUUGAGCUAAUACCGGAUGAUGUCUUCGGACCAAAGAUUUAUCGCCUUUAGAUGGGCCCGCGUUGGAUUAGCUAGUUGGUGGGGUAAAGGCCUACCAAGGCGACGAUCCAUAGCUGGUCUGGGAGGAGGAUCAGCCACACUGGGACUGAGACACGGCCCAGACUCCGACGGGAGGCAGCAGUGGGGAAUAUUGGACGAGGGGCGAAAGCCUGAUCCAGCCAUGCCGGGGGAGUGAUGAAGGGCUUAGGGUUGUACAGCUCUUUUACCCGAGAUGAUAAUGACAGUAUCGGGAGAAUAAGCUCCGGCUAACUCCGUG